UGGGGAAUAUUGCGCAAUGGGGGAAACCCUGACGCAGCGACGCCGUGUGAGGGAAGAAGGCUUUCGGGUCGUAAACCUCUGUCAGGAAGGAAGAACCUCUCAAGGCUGAACAAGCCUUGGGACUGACGGUACUUUCAGAGGAAGCACCGGCUAACUCCGUGCCAGCAGCCGCGGUAAUACGGAGGGUGCAAGCGUUAAUCGGAAUCACUGGGCGUAAAGCGCGCGUAGGCCGUCUUUUAAGUCGGACGUGAAAGCCCUCGGCUCAACCGGGGAACUGCGUUCGAUACUGGGAGACUUGAGUCCUGGAGAGGGUGGCGGAAUUCCGGGUGUAGGAGUGAAAUCCGUAGAUAUCCGGAGGAACACCGGUGGCGAAGGUGGCCACCUGGACAGUUACUGACGCUGAGGCGCGAAAGCGUGGGGAGCAAACA
rnacentral:rRNA from 1 species